rnacentral:rRNA from 1 species
GUGGGGAAUCUUAGACAAUGGGCGCAAGCCUGAUCUAGCCAUGCCGCGUGAGCGAUGAAGGCCUUAGGGUUGUAAAGCUCUUUCGUGGGGGAAGAUAAUGACUGUACCCCAAGAAGAAGCCCCGGCUAACUCCGUGCCAGCAGCCGCGGUAAUACGGAGGGGGCUAGCGGUGUUCGGAAUUACUGGGCGUAAAGCGCACGUAGGCGGACUGGAAAGUCAGGGGUGAAAUCCCGGGGCUCAACCCCGGAACUGCCUUUGAAACUCCCAGUCUUGAGUUCGAGAGAGGUGAGUGGAAUUCCGAGUGUAGAGGUGAAAUUCGUAGAUAUUCGGAGGAACACCAGUGGCGAAGGCGGCUCACUGGCUCGAUACUGACGCUGAGGUGCGAAAGCGUGGGGAGCAAACAGGAUUAGAUACCCUUGUAGUCC